AAGUCGUAACAAGGUCUCCGUUGGUGAACCAGCGGAGGGAUCAUUACAGAGUUGCAAAACUCCAACAAACCAUCGCGAAUCUUACCCGUACGGUUGCCUCGGCGCUGGCGGUCCGGAAGGCCCUCGGGCCCCCGGAUCCUUGGGUCUCCCGCUCGCGGGAGGCUGCCCGCCGGAGUGCCGAAACCAAACUCUUGAUAUUUUAUGUCUCUCUGAGUAAACUUUUAAAUAAGUCAAAACUUUCAACAACGGAUCUCUUGGUUCUG
rnacentral:misc_RNA from 1 species